CCUACGGGAGGCAGCAGUAGGGAAUCUUUCACAAUGGGCGAAAGCCUGAUGGAGCAACGCCGCGUGCAGGAUGAAGGCCUUCGGGUUGUAAACUGCUUUUAUAAGCGAGAAAUAUGAUGGUAACUUAUGAAUAAGGAUCGGCUAACUACGUGCCAGCAGCCGCGGUCAUACGUAGGAUCCGAGCAUUAUCCGGAGUGACUGGGUGUAAAGAGUUGCGUAGGUGGCAUAAUAAGUAGCUAGUGAAAUCUGGUGGCUAAACCAUUCAGACUAUUAGGUAAACUGUUAAGCUCGAGACCGUUAGGGGCAACUGGAAUUUCUAGUGUAGGAGUGAAAUCCGUAGAUAUUAGAAGGAACACCAAUAGCGUAGGCAGGAUGCUGGGACGGUUCUGACACUAAGGCACGAAAGCGUAGGGAGCAAACGGGAUUAGAUACCAGAGUAGUC
rnacentral:rRNA from 1 species